CUGAAUUGUCAACAAGAGUUGUUGCUGGUCCCCGAAUAGGGACAUGUGCACGCUCUGUUACAUCCACUUACACCUGUGCACCCUCUGUAGUUCUAUGGUCAAGGGGCCCUGUCCUCCUGCUGUGGUUCUGCAUCUUUACACACACACACUGUAACAAAGUCUCAUGGAAUGUAUGUCGUGAUUAACACAAUACAAUA
rnacentral:misc_RNA from 1 species